GUCAGCCAACGAGCGAUCAUGAAAAGGACAGCUAAGCCCUCAGACGCACAGUUCCGCAAAAGAAGAAAAACGGAGGAAGAAAAGAAGUCAAAAUAUAAAGCUGCUGGAGAGGGGCCUCCACGCGCUGAGCAACCCACACCACUCUGUGAAGCAUCUGCAAGUCAGAGUGAGCCUCAGGCAUCUUGGAGCAGCACCACCUCCACCACAUCAAACACACCACCUGCCCCAUGUGAAACUCAGGCUGAAGCAGGUGAGUUCUGUAAUUGUGCGCGACAGCUGCAGUAACAUUACAUAUGUCAAGAGGACCACAUUGAGACACAGUUUGGUGUCAUCCUAUCAGUAAUUAAAACAUUUUCUGUCACAAUGUUGACAUCACAUGUGAAUGUGUACAAACCAUCAUGCCCUUUACUUCUGGAAUUUCUUUUUUUUUUUUUUGUCAAUUUACCAACAUUAUCUGUUAUCAAAUAUUUCCUACAUUCUUGUAUCAUAUGGUGACAGUUGCACAAUCAAAUAUAUUUGAUGAUAAAUACAGUAUACAAGGGACUAUAGCAAACUGAAAUACUAUUCAGAUUAGACUGAUUAAUCAAGUUGUCUACAUGGCACAUUAAAGGUAGAGUAAUUAUCUCCCCAUCAAAAUGAUAUCUAAUAAUAAAAUAAUAAAACUGGAUUCUUAAUCUCUUCCUCAUGUAACAGAACAAUAUUACUGUUCUUUUUCUUCAGUCUUUACACUGGCUUCCAGUCCGCUUUAGAAUAGAUUUUAAAGUUCUGCUACUGAUCUAUAAAUCACUAAACGGUUUAGGUCCUGAAUACAUGAAUGAAAUGCUAAUUGAUAUAAACCCAGUAGGGCUCUGAGAUCGACAGGCUCAGGUCAAAUAGUAGUCCAAGGCAAACAUGGUGAAGCAGUAUUUAGCUAUUAUGCUGCACACACACACACAGCGGCACGGUGGGCGACUGGUUAGAGCGUCAGCCUCACAGUUCUGAGGACCCGGGUUCAAUCCCCGGCCCCACCUGUGUGGAGUUUGGGUGGAGUCAGGGUGUACCCCGCCUCCUGCCCGAUGACAGCAGGGAUAGCACGCCCGUGACCCUAGUGAGGAGAAGCGGCUCAGAAAAUGGAUGGAUGGAUGGAUGCUGCACACACAUGGAAUAAGUUGCCAACAGAAGUGACGUCAGUGUGCAUGUUUUUAAGUCCAGGUUAAA